rnacentral:lncRNA from 1 species
ACAUACAUGGCAAGCAUGUUGGUCAGUGUACGAUUCGUGCGCUCAGUGAGUCCGUUUGUUUGCGGGUGGUAAGGGGUCGAAUGCCGGUAAUCAGAUCCACAAAGACGCAGUAGUUCUUCAACAACGUCUGCAGUAAACUGCCGCCAAACAUCACU